rnacentral:ncRNA from 1 species
CAGAAGGUCUUGGUCUUAAACCUCUUAUUGUCUAAACUCCACACUUAUACAUGCAAGCCUCAACACGACAGUGAAACAGCCCACUUUAAAUCAACGAGGAGCCGAUAUCAGGCCAGCCGCCCACGACAUCAAGCAACCCAAGCCACACCCCCACGGGUCCACAGCAGUAGCUAACAUUGGGCCAUAAGCGCAAGCUUGACCCAGCUAACGGAGUCCUACAGGGCCGGUUAAUCUCGUGCCAGCGACCGCGGUUAUACGACAGGCCCAAGACAAUACUAUCGGCGUAAAGCACGACUAAAACUAUAGUUCACUCCAUUAGGGGUAAAGAAAGGCCGGGCUGUAAAAAGCCAUAAGCUACACUAAAAACAACCCCUAACACCAAACAACUUCAACUCGUGAAAGCCAGGACACAAACUAAGAUUAGAUACCUUACUAUGCCUGGCCAUAACAAAGCAGUCAAAUCACCAACUGCUCGCCAAAUAACUACGAGUAAAAACUUAAAAUUUAAAAGACUUGACGGUACUUCACACCAACCUAGAGGAGCCUGUCUAAUAACCGAUGACCCACGAUUAACCCAACCCACCCUAGCCCAACAGUCUAUAUACCGCCGUCGCCAGCCUACCUUAUGAAAGAACCAAAGUAGGCCCAACAACCCACAUUAACACGACAGGUCGAGGUGUAACCCAUGGGUGGGACCAAGAUGGGCUACAUUUUCUACUUCAGAAAAAACGAACAGACUAUGAAAUUAGAAACUGAAGGCGGAUUUAGCAGUAAGCUGGGGAUAGACAUACCCAGCCGAAACCAACGCAAUGAAGUGCGCACACACCGCCCGUCAUCCCUGUAAGACUCAUUAAUUAUUCAUAAACACCACUAUUACACCUAAAACAGGGCAAGUCGUAACAUGGUAAGCGUACUGGAAA